AAGGCAGUGUUAUUAAAAUGGAGGUGAAAUGUCUUUAAAAAGUGGGUGUUAACGAAAUGUCUGUGUGGCACUCUUCCCCCUCCCACUACACUUUCUCCCUCCCCUCCCAGGAUGUGAAGUUAAAGAACAUGGGUUCUUGGCCCAGCGUUCUCAGUCCACCCCCGCCUCCGCUGUCCGCUCCUCUAGCGACAGCUUCGAACAGGUCCGUCGCGUCGCCCGAGAGAAGGAGAGAGAGAAACAGCUAAAAGCACAGGCCAGGAGAGAGCAGGAGAAACUACGUAGCCGUGACUACGAGGACUCUGUGGAGCAGCAGGGGAGGGGGCGUGUCCAGGAGGACACUCGCCGUCGCCAGGAGCAACUUUCGCCUCAACCCCUCCCGCCGACUCCCCACAGGCCCCUCCCACUCAACAGGCCACACCCUCGGCCGCAGCAGAACGCCAUGGACCAGCAGAGGGAGCUGGCGAGACGCCGCGAGCAGGAAAGGAGGAGGAGAGAGAUGGCGGACACCAUUGACAUCAACUUCCAGAGCGACUUGAUGGUCAUCUUUGAAGAGAACCUUUUCUGAGAGAGAGAUUGAGAAAGAGAUAUGAACUCUACCUUAUCCCACCAUGGCUGGGAUUUCACACACAACACCCUCCCUCCCUCUGAUUAGAGACCCCAGACCAGGAUGUGAGCUCCAGAGACUUGAAGGAGACUGAGGUGAGGUACAGUAAUAAGGAGUAGCCCUCCCUCCCUCCCUCUGAUUAGAGACCCCAGACCAGGAUGU